GAAAAAGCUUAAAUAGCCUUGGAGGGCGAUAAGACCCUAUAGAUCUUUACAUCCGGUUCUUUCAUCUAACGGUGGGUAAUCAGGUGGAAGAGGAGGAUGUUUGGUUGGGGCGACGUCGAGGAGAGAACAAACACUCGAGAAUAUACAUACAUCAAUAAAUGAUCAUUGAUCCUUAGAUGAACAUAGAGUAAGUUACCUUAGGGAUAACAGCGUAAUUCUUUUUGAGAGCUCAAAUCGACAAAAGAGUUUGCGACCUCGAUGUUGGUUCAGGGACCCUAUUUGGUGCAGCAGCUUAAUCAGGUAGUCUGUUCGACUAUUAAACCCCUACGUGAUCUGAGUUCA
rnacentral:rRNA from 1 species